UACGGGGGGGGGCAAGCGUUGUUCGGAAUUACUGGGCGUAAAGGGCUCGUAGGCGGCCAACUAAGUCAGACGUGAAAUCCCUCGGCUUAACCGGGGAACUGCGUCUGAUACUGGAUGGCUUGAGAUUGGGAGAGGGAUGCGGAAUUCCAGGUGUAGCGGUGAAAUGCGUAGAUAUCGUCAAGAACACCUAUAGCGAAGGCAGCUUACUGGGCUGUAACUGACGCUGAGGCACGAAAAGUGUGGGGGAUCAAACAGG
rnacentral:rRNA from 1 species